rnacentral:rRNA from 1 species
GAUGAACGCUGGCGGCGUGCCUAAUACAUGCAAGUCGAGCGAAUGGAUUAAGAGCUUGCUCUUAUGAAGUUAGCGGCGGACGGGUGAGUAACACGUGGGUAACCUGCCCAUAAGACUGGGAUAACUCCGGGAAACCGUGGCUAAUACCGGAUAACAUUUUGAACCGCAUGGUUCGAAAUUGAAAGGCGGCUUCGGCUGUCACUUAUGGAUGGACCCGCGUCGCAUUAGCUAGUUGGUGAGGUAACGGCUCACCAAGGCAACGAUGCGUAGCCGCCCUGAGAGGGUGAUCGGCCACGCUGGGACUGAGACACGGCCCAGACUCCUACGGGAGGCAGCAGUAGGGAAUCUUCCGCAAUGGACGAAAGUCUGACGGAGCAACGCCGCGUGAGUGAUGAAGGCUUUCGGGUCGUAAAACUCUGUUGUUAGGGAAGAACAAGUGCUAGUCGAAUAAGCUGGCACCUUGACGGUACCUAACCAGAAAGCCACGGCUAACUACGUGCCAGCCGCCGCUGUAA